GAUGAAGAACGUAGCGAAAUGCGAUAACUAAUGUGAAUUGCAGAAUUCAGUGAAUCAUCGAGUCUUUGAACGCACAUUGCGCCCCCUGGUAUUCCGGGGGGCAUGCCUGUCCGAGCGUCAUUGCUGCCCUCAAGCACGGCUUGUGUGUUGGGCUCCGUCCCCCCGGGGACGGGCCCGAAAGGCAGCGGCGGCACCGAGUCCGGUCCUCGAGCGUAUGGGGCUUUGUCACCCGCUCUGUAGGCCCGGCCGGCGCCAGCCGAAAACCCAUCAUCCUUUUCAGGUUGACCUCGGAUCAGGUAGGGAUACCCGCUGAACUUAAGCAUAUCAAUAAGCGGAGGA
rnacentral:misc_RNA from 1 species